UUGUUUGGUCAGUUUAUACAGCCCCUGCCACCCUGCAGCGGUGUUCAACAGGCACGAUCUGAACUCAGAAUGGGUUCCAGUUCUCGCUCCAGGGAUUCUGUCUGUGUGGCAGAGAUCUGAACUCUCUCGGGGUCUUUGAAGGCACUUUGGGUUAGAAAUCCCAAUGAGGACAGGCAAAAGGCAGGAUGCAGGGAAACAUGGCAACUGGCUUCCGUUGAUGACAACACCACUUGUUGAGUCACUCUGGGAUGGACCACGCGCCAGAAUUAAAGCUGACCUCCUGCAAGGCUACUAUUUCCCAAAGACUUCGGGGUUAUUUUCAUCCAGUGUGUUCUCUGGAACUUACUGGAAACCUUACUAACCAGUUCCUGUCCUGGAUUCCUGAAUCAGAAACUCCAAGAGAUUUAUGUGUCACCUGUUCCGGAGAGAAUAGCAGAUUUCUCGUCACAGCCCCAUUCUCGUGCCUGUCUUGCUGGCCUUUGCUUCUCCAUUUAUGGUUAUUGACAGUUGCUAACACAACAUGUAAUGGUGCCCCCUGCAAUGAUGGAAAAGUUCUGUAUCUGCUCUGCCCAGUAUGCCAGUCUUCUGUGCUAUGGAGGACUUGAAAGAUGACAGUAAAG